UACGUAGGGUGCAAGCGUUAAUCGGAAUUACUGGGCGUAAAGCGUGCGCAGGCGGUGAUGUAAGACAGUUGUGAAAUCCCCGGGCUCAACCUGGGAACUGCAUCUGUGACUGCAUUGCUGGAGUGCGGCAGAGGGGGAUGGAAUUCCGCGUGUAGCAGUGAAAUGCGUAGAUAUGCGGAGGAACACCGAUGGCGAAGGCAAUCCCCUGGGCCUGCACUGACGCUCAUGCACGAAAGCUGGGGAGCAACAGG
rnacentral:rRNA from 1 species